CCGCAACCGUGAUCUUGGCGUCGCCUCCAAAUACACUCUGGACCAUGAUUUGGUGGUCGAACGGAUGUCAUCCACUGGUUCCACUCAGCAGUGCAGGCCAGACAUAAGUUUGGGGACGAGCAAGAUGGUGCGACGGUGGUGCUCGGCAACAACAGGAUGGAGGCUGUAGUAGCUCGCGGCGGCACAUGAAUGUUGGUCGGUAGGCACGAAGGGAGAGCUGGUGGUUGCCGGCCUGAGCUGCAGCUGCCUGCCACUGCUCCAGGGACCUGUGCAAGGGCUGGCUAGGAUAGCUUCAGCAUCGGAGCCAGGGGUGGCAAGGUCUUUUUUGUCCGCACCGACCAAGACGCUCAGGUAUAUACACACAUGAUCAAGCCCAUUCCAGAUUUCGAUGCUUGCGGUUGCAGAUACAUGUCAU